GAUGAACGCUAGCGGCAGGCCUAACACAUGCAAGUCGAGGGGCAGCAUAAAAUAAACUUGUUUAUUUGGUGGCGACCGGCGCACGGGUGCGUAACGCGUAUGCAACCUACCUUAUACUGGGGAAUAGCCCGAAGAAAUUCGGAUUAAUGCCCCAUAGUACUGAGACCUCUCUUGAGGAUUCAGUUAAAGCUUUGGCGGUAUAAGAUGGGCAUGCGUCCAAUUAGCUAGAUGGUGAGGUAACGGCUCACCAUGGCGACGAUUGGUAGGGGGCCUGAGAGGGUGGUCCCCCACACUGGUACUGAGACACGGACCAGACUCCUACGGGAGGCAGCAGUGAGGAAUAUUGGUCAAUGGGCGCAAGCCUGAACCAGCCAUGCCGCGUGAAGGAUGAAGGUUCUAUGGAUUGUAAACUUCUUUUAUUUGGGAAUAAACCUCUUUACGUGUAGAGAGCUGAAGGUACCAAAUGAAUAAGCACCGGCUAACUCCGUGCCAGCCGCCGCAGUAACAC
rnacentral:rRNA from 1 species